rnacentral:rRNA from 1 species
GAUGAACGCUAGCGGGAGGCUUAACACAUGCAAGUCGAGGGGCAGCAUAGGGUAGCAAUACUCUGAUGGCGACCGGCAAAACGGGUGAGUAACGCGUAUGCAACCUACCCUGUACAGGGGGAUAACCCGGAGAAAUUCGGACUAAUAUCCCGUAAUAAUAUCCGGAGGCAUCUUUGGAUAUUUAAAGUUCCGACGGUACGGGAUGGGCAUGCGUAACAUUAACUGGUUGGUAAGGUAACGGCUUACCAAGGCUAUGAUGUUUAGGGGUCCUGAGAGGGUGGUCCCCCACACUGGUACUGAGACACGGACCAGACUCCUACGGGAGGCAGCAGUGAGGAAUAUUGGUCAAUGGGCGCAAGCCUGAACCAGCCAUCCCGCGUGCAGGAAGACGGCCCUAUGGGUUGUAAACUGCUUUUCCAGGGAGAGAAACUUACGCACGUGUUGCGUGACUGACGGUACCCUGGGAAUAAGCAUCGGCUAACUCCGUGCCAGCAGCCGCGGUAAACCGAGAGUA